CACAAUCUUGGAAUACCAGGUAGAAUCUGUGCACACACAAACAUCAUUCAUCAUCUGCUGUUGGUGGAUGGGGAGAGUCAGACAUCCUCCUCUGGGUAAAUCCAGAGGCAUUGCUUCAGAAGGAAUUCUCAAGAUUGAGUCUCACUCUGUUGCCCAGGCUGGAGCACAGUGGCGUGAUCUUGGCUCACUGCAACCUCCAGGGUUCAAGGGAACCUGUAAAGGAAACCAGUAGCUUAUCUGUACCAGUGGCAUAUCUGUAUAAUCUCUUAGAAAAUCAAGGGUUCAAAAUCAAACACCUUGCUAGUUUGCGAUUCAGUGAUUCAAGAAUGAAUUCUGCAGUUGGAGGACUCUCUAGGCCCUUCAGUGUUCCACUUACUUUUUCUGCUCUUAUUCCCUCUCUUCUUCUACACGCCAGCGUCCUCUUCUGCACUGGAUGGUAUCAUGAUUUUCAGGAAGGAGAGUCAAAAAGGGAAACAAGUCAGCUCAAGCAAAAACAUCCUGGCACACGGGAGGACGAAGUAAAUAAUGAUAGUAUGUGGGACACCAUUAGUCAUUGUCAUUCUGCAUGCUCCAGCACCAAUAAAACCAUCUUAACCAAACACCCUUGGAUAAUUGGUUCCCAUGACUAAUACAUAGCCACUGAUCCAGAGCCUAAGGAGUGUGAAUGACAAACAAUAAACCUGCUUGGGAUAACGUGA